AGAUUCUUAAAGGAAUUGGCGGAGGCGCACAAGCGGUGGAUGAUGUGGUUUAAUUCGAUGCAACGCGAAAAACCUUACCCACCUUUGACAUGUAUGGAAUCCUGAAGAGAUUUAGGAGUGCUCGAAAGAGAGCCAUAACACAGGUGCUGCAUGGCUGUCGUCAGCUCGUGUCGUGAGAUGUUGGGUUAAGUCCCGCAACGAGCGCAACCCUUGCCAUUAGUUGCUACGAAAGGGCACUCUAAUGGGACUGCCGGUGACAAACCGGAGGAAGGUGGGGAUGACGUCAAGUCCUCAUGGCCCUUAUAGGUGGGGCUACACACGUCAUACAAUGGCUGGUACAGAGGGUUGCCAACCCGCGAGGGGGAGCCAAUCCCACAAAGCCAGUCGUAGUCCGGAUCGCAGUCUGCAACUCGACUGCGUGAAGUCGGAAUCGCUAGUAAUCGCGGAUCAGAAUGUCGCGGUGGAUACGUUCCCGCCCCUGCACACACCGCCCGAAUCUGUCCCCUAC
rnacentral:rRNA from 1 species